CUGAGCGUGACCACCUCGAGCAGUCAUAAGGAAGUCUACCUUCUCGUCAAUGACUAGCUCGAUGCUGCAGUUGUGUGUCUAGUUCUUUGACCUGAGGUGCAUCGAUGGUUCACCUUGAGUGUGUUAUAGUUUGACUACACCAUAACUCGGUCUCCUAGCUAUUCAGAACCCUGAGGUGCAUGUUGGCUGUAGCAUAUCCAUUGUAGGAACCAGAUCGCACCAAGAUGGGAUCUAUCAACCUCGGUAGAUGAGAGGAGUAGUCCUAUGAUGAUCGAAAGAUCGAGUCCUUAAGCCCAUGGCCAUGGCAGAGUGAAAUAAUGGAAAAGAGUUUUUCAUUGAGGUCUCACAUCGGACUCGGAUCGAUCGAUUGAUUCAUAUGUCUGAUGUUGGGUUUGACGAGUUUACCUUAACCCUAAUUCAGUCGGGACUCAUGAUAGAGGAACUCAAUCACACAGGUAGCUGCACCAAGAGGUUCAUCUUCAGUUCUAAUGGGUUGCCACCAUAUACUGCUAGGUGUCACUGAU
rnacentral:lncRNA from 1 species